ensembl:lncRNA
UUUAUUUUUUCCAGGUGAAGUUUUAUUGCAUUUGAUGAUAUUUUCUAAUACAUUUCAUUAAAAAGAAAAUGCUAGAAAAUCUUCUCGUGUUAUUCCUGUGAUACAAAGUCCCCACCGCUUACACAAACACACCAGCACAGCUUUCUGCAGCCUGGGACUGGACUUUACACUGGCCAGACGAAUUUUAGUUGUACUGAGGAAAAUAUUCCUUCCCUCUGUGGAGUUCCUGGGAAGGCUAAAACUAUUGCUCCACUGAUGGUAACGACAAGGGAAUGACCAUGAACUUCUGAGUCACUCCUGAGAACAGGACCUUUUGAUUUCAUUGGUAAGGAACAGGAAGCACCAGUGAAAACUCCUCAGAGAGAGCACCAGAGGUUGUUCCUGAAAACCUCCAACAUCUAUGAACUUGGCAAUGAGUUUCAUUAGUUUAAUUGUCUGAAGCUUUGAUAAAGUUGUUUUUCAAUCCAAUGGAGACUGCAGAAAUCCUGUAUGUCAGAACUUAAAACUUUCUCUGCAUAGCAAACCACUAUUACUGUUGUAAAUUAAUGUCACAGUUCAGAACUUAAACCAACACCAACCAACCAAGCAACACUGGACUUUUGUACAAAUAACAGCUGAAAAUGAAGGAAAGGCAACCUCCAUAAUUUCCUUCUGAAGCUGAGGUUUGCACUGUAGCAUGAAAGUUGUAUGGAAAAAAAUAAGUAAAACUUCAUCCAAGCUACUGUUAAGAUAAAUUUCUACAGAACUUUCUUAUCCUGUCUUGCUUACAAUAUAUUACACACAUCUUAACAAACAAACAACAGAACCAUGCCUCGUGCUCUUUAAGGAGAUUAUAUUUUGUGCUAAUUAUGAAACUGAAUACACUAGAACCCAACUCCAAAGGCAGCAGUACCGUGAGGUAACACGUGGCCAGCACAAGGCUCGAACACGUCAUUACUGAUGCAUUAUAUACAAGAACUGAUUCGUUUGUUAUUCUUACCUGCUUCACACAAUCACACCACGAAAUACUUUUAUUAAUCUAAAUGAGUAAAUAUUACUGGCCUCGUUACAGCACAAUACCACUGGACUACCUUUUCCAGGAUUGUCUAGCUGCUAAAAUAACUGACACCGAUACCAAUUUUCACCGCAUGUUUUGAUACUCGCUGUAGCUCCACUUAUUUGAUCACUUCAAAACGAAACCACAGACACCUUUCAAACCUGCGGUUGUGUCAGAUGCAUUUCUGUAAGAUGUAUCUCAAAGUCAGUAAUUUCACUGUUAAUACGUUGGACCAAACACUGCUUUAAGCAGCUUAUGUCUGUAAUGGUGGCUUCCCAAAGCUGCAGAUGACCUGGGAGUACUUCUGAUGAGAACCACAGCUAGGCAGCCUUCUCCAGGAGAGGUGACUUCAGGAAUAUUUGAGGCCCAAAAGCGUCAUGGUGUGUUUCAGUGCCGUUUCCUCAACAAAUCUCACAUGAAUGUGCUCUGGUUUCUCAUGUGGCUGCACACCUACAGAAACAUCAUGAGCCAGUAUUUACACUAUCGUAAGUGCUGUCGCACGCUCAGCUGUGCAGAUGUUGUAAACAUCUUCAUCUACAAUACCAAAAGAUGAGGUAAUAGGUGGAACUGUGCUCUCAUUUACACAGAACACCUACAGCUUUCAGCAAGCUGUUUGGAUGCUCACCCAUGGCAAAAACUUUCCUAUCAGUGGGGUUAAGUAAACGAUAGUCCAUACGGAGCAAAGCCAGACCCCCUCUGGGGCCGCCAGCAUUUCCACACUGAUUCUACACUGGAUAUCCAAAAGAUUUAAGCACAGUGGCCAUGUUGGCGCUAGCACAUAACAGGGACCAGGGCAAAUUCCCAUAUACUUCCAUCUCUUUUUACUCCUCAAAGAGAAAUACAUCCAUACCUGGACAACCUUGGUUUACUCAGAUCCUUAUCCUGACUUUAUUUUGUCAGUACAGGCACAGCCAGUAAUGCCAAACAGUCCAGUGUUCCCUUAACACAUUUUUCAGUAGAAUUCAAAGUCUUCAGAUGCUGAUGUUCACUGUCUGAAACAAGUGCUCUAACCAGCUGUAUUUCACAAACAGGAACAGCUUUGAGAUGAGAAUGUUACUUCAGAGCACCUCCAAAUCUAGUGAUGUGGGUGCUCUUUUCUGAGGUGGCAGAUCUGAUCAGGGCUGCCUCUUAGCCACCACACUGCCUAAAUAAGGAACAAGCCCUUCUCCCCAUCUGAACACAGAAUAACAGCUGCCACCAUGCUGUACAUGAACCACGAUUCACGACGUGUGUUCUCAAAAAUGCAUGUUUGCCAACUGGAUCCAACACAGAGAGGACGUGCAGUGAAGCAGCCCCCUGACAAUUCCCAUCGGCAGAAAGACAACCAAACCUACAUGUUCGGACAUCGCUGCAGUUGUAGAACUCUGUUAUGUCCAUACAGUCAGGGUACUGCCAAGUGUGACCAUCAAAAGUAACAAUUACUGGUCUUCCAAAGCACAGAAUUAACGUUACCUUGAUUCUCUAUCUCUGCCAACACACUGGUCAGGUAGUUAAGCGGCAAAAACUCUACAGGGACCGAGAGCCUCUCAGGGACAGGCCUGCUACACUGUAAGGGAGAAUAUCACAGGUUAGUUCAGAGUCGCACAGCGCCAAGUCCCAGUGUUACCUCGAGUGUAUUAUAGCUCACAGAAAGGUCAGGAACCCCAACACUGUCAAAGCAUAGGAUUAAAGAAUGUGCUCUCACCUGCCUGUUCCCCAGCUUCUCGAGCAAGAGCUUCACGUAUUUCCGUGCCAUUAAAUUAGCGUUUAUUGGAUGAUCCCAAACCUGUCGGACCUUCUGACCAAGAGCCUAGCAAGCAAAAAACAAACCCCCAAACCUGAGAACAUAAACACAGGACAGGGGAAACCUGGGAGAGAGAAAAGGGAGGAAAAACCUGAAACAAAAUACAGGCUGUAACACAAAUGCUUUGCUUUCAGACACUGAUGACAGAAGCUGAGAUGUCACUUUUAGCUAUGGAGCUUUUCUUUCAUUAGCAGUAACUGAGAGGUUACAACAUGCUCCCAAGAUGUGGGAAACAAUCCAAACCUUGCUACUCAGUACCCAGGGAGCUACACAGUAGGUUUCUACCAACUGGUGUGUGCCAUUACCUCUGUCCCACUUUGCAUGUGUACUUAAACAUUAAUGGAUGCUUAAAAUGACUGCUUAUCCUUUACUGUGAGUCUCUGGUUUAGAUCCAGUCUUCUCCCAAAGAACACCACUGAUGCCCCAUUCCUCAGUGCUCGUUCAGAACAGGGCUUCUCAGGCUCAGCCUAAGGAAUGCUACAAAAGCAGAAUGCCAUCAAGAAUAGAUACUAGGAACAUAGUUUGCAUCCCAUUAUUUAGGACCUCAUCCAGGGAAUGGAUAACAUUGAUUCCCGUUCACUAAGGCAAGAGAUUCAAAUCCAGAUGUCUCAAAGCUUCUAAUCCUAACCAAUAAGCAAAUAUGAACACACUGUGAAAUAAGCUCCACCUUCUGUGGUUUUCCCUAUCUAGACCUUUUUUUCCCCCUAUUACUUUCAGUUGUAUUGCAAUACAGAACUACUGGAAGAGUUCAUGUACAGUUUCAAUGGUGCUUAAAUACUUGCUUCUGAUGCCACUGAAGUCAUCUACUGAAUGUUGCUUGCUCAAAAUAGUCCAAGUCACCCCAAAGUGUCCUUUCUGCCAAACAAACUAUCCUCUGCAUUUUUUCCCAAAGCUGUAAAUAGAUACAAUAGGGCACUGAGCCCACUGUGCAUAUGUAACUAGCAGUACAUGUGCCC